GUUGGAUGCAGCAGAAUGGCGUAAAAUGUGGCUGGAGCUGUUCUAAAGCUGUGUUUGCUGACAGUGGUUAGUGGGACUCCCUGGCCAAAGUGUGCAAGGCGAGUGGGCGGGAGGAGCUCAGUGCAUAUUUCCACUUCUGAGUGGAUCUCAUCGGCAAUAUUUCCCUCCCUGGCCCUUUCAAAAGCAGGGAGCUUGAUUAGAGACACACCAACCACAUCUUCUGGCUCUGAAAGAAGCCAUAGGCUUGCAUCGUUUGUUUCCGUUUGGGCUGGAUGUGCCACUCUACCUCUGAUUUGGACCCUGGUGGCCCAUCUGUUUCCUGAAAAACCCCCUCACAGCUUUUCUUGCUGAACUCCAGACUU
rnacentral:lncRNA from 1 species